rnacentral:snRNA from 1 species
GUACUUGCUUCAGCAGCACAUAUACUAAGAUUGGAAUGAUACAGAGAUUAGCAUGGUUCCUGCUCAAGGAUGACAUGCAAAUUUGUAUUCAUUUUGU